UACGAAGGGUGCAAACGUUGCUCGGAAUUAUUGGGCGUAAAGCGCACGUAGGCGGCUUAGCAAGUCGGAUGUGAAAGCCCUCGGCUUAACUGAGGAAGUGCACCCGAAACUGAGUAGCUAGAGUACGAAAGAGGGUCGCGGAAUUCCCGGUGUAGAGGUGAAAUUCGUAGAUAUCGGGAGGAACACCGGUGGCGAAGGCGGCGACCUGGGUCGAGACUGACGCUGAGGCGCGAAAGCGUGGGGAGCAAACAGG
rnacentral:rRNA from 1 species